GUGGGGAAUAUUGGACAAUGGGCGAAAGCCUGAUCCAGCCAUGCCGCGUGUGUGAAGAAGGUCUUCGGAUUGUAAAGCACUUUAAGUUGGGAGGAAGGGCAGUAAGUUAAUACCUUGCUGUUUUGACGUUACCGACAGAAUAAGCACCGGCUAACUUCGUGCCAGCAGCCGCGGUAAUACGAAGGGUGCAAGCGUUAAUCGGAAUUACUGGGCGUAAAGCGCGCGUAGGUGGUUUUGUAAGUUGGAGGUGAAAUCCCCGGGGUCAACCUGGGAACUGCCUCCAAAACUGCAUGACUAGAGUACGGUAGAGGGUAGUGGAAUUUCCUGUGUAGCGGUGAAAUGCGUAGAUAUAGGAAGGAACACCAGUGGCGAAGGCGACUACCUGGACUGAUACUGACACUGAGGUGCGAAAGCGUGGGGAGCAAACAGGAUUAGAAACCCCGGUAGUCC
rnacentral:rRNA from 1 species